GCUUUGGAGAAUUCCAUUCAGUUGGAUGCCGAAGGUGUAAGGUGCGUGUGCGCCGAAUCUCUCAGGCAAAAGAACGAAGCU
rnacentral:ncRNA from 1 species